rnacentral:rRNA from 1 species
GUGGGGAAUUUUGGACAAUGGGCGCAAGCCUGAUCCAGCAAUGCCGCGUGCAGGAAGAAGGCCUUCGGGUUGUAAACUGCUUUUGUACGGAACGAAACGGUCCGGGUUAAUACCCUGGGCUAAUGACGGUACCGUAAGAAUAAGCACCGGCUAACUACGUGCCAGCAGCCGCGGUAAUACGUAGGGUGCAAGCGUUAAUCGGAAUUACUGGGCGUAAAGCGUGCGCAGGCGGUUUUGUAAGACAGGCGUGAAAUCCCCGGGCUAAACCUGGGAAUUGCGCUUGGGACUGACAGGCUGGCGUGCGGCAGAGGGGGAUGGAAUUCCGCGUGUAGCAGUGAAAUGCGUAGAUAUGCGGAGGAACACCGAUGGCGAAGGCAAUCCCCUGGGCCUGCACUGACGCUCAUGCACGAAAGCGUGGGGAGCAAACAGGAUUAGAAACCCGUGUAGUCC